UAUAAGCUAUUAAGGGCUAAUGGUGGAUGCCUUGACUGUAAGAGGCGAUGAAGGACGUAUUAGGCUGCGAUAAGCCUCGGGGAGCUGCCAAAGAGCUUUGAUCCGAGGAUUUCCGAAUGGGGCAACCCAGCAUAUAGAGAUAUAUGUUACCCUACGGGGAGCGAACCUGGUGAAGUGAAACAUCUCAGUAGCCAGAGGAAGAGAAAUCAAAUGAGAUUCCCAUAGUAGCGGCGAGCGAACUGGGAUUAGGACAAACCCAAUGCUUGCAUUGGGGGUUGUAGGACUAUAAUGUGUAAUUAAAGAGAAUAGAUGAAUUAGUUGGAAAACUAGAGCAUAGAAGGUGAUACUCCUGUAAUUAAAAUUCUCAAUAAUACUAAUAGUAUCCUGAGUAGGUCGGAACACGUGAUAUUUUGACUGAAGCUGGGGGGACCACCCUCCAAUCCUAAAUACUACUUACAGAUCGAUAGUGAACAAGUACCGUGAGGGAAAGGUGAAAAGUACUGCAGCGAGCAGAGUGAAAUAGAACCUGAAACCAUUAGCUUACAAUCAUUCAGAGCCCUAUGAUUUAUCAGGGUGAUGGACUGCCUUUUGCAUAAUGAGCCUGCGAGUUGUGGUGUCUGGCAAGGUUAAGCCAAGUGCGAAGCCGUAGCGAAAGCGAGUCUUAAUAGGGCGACAUAGUCAGAUGCUGCAGACCCGAAACGAAGUGAUCUAUCCAUGAGCAGGUUGAAGCUGGUGUAAGAGCCAGUGGAGGACCGAACCCGCUGACGUUGAAAAGUCUUGGGAUGACUUGUGGAUAGGGGUGAAAGGCCAAUCAAACUUCGUGAUAGCUGGUUCUCUCCGAAAUAUAUUUAGGUAUAGCCUUGUGUUGUAGCAUAUAGGGGUAGAGCACUGAAUGGGCUAGGGCUGCUUACCGCGGUACCAAACCCUAUCAAACUAUGAAUACUAUAUGUGGAAUCACAGGAGUCAGGCGGUGGGUGAUAAAAUCCGUCGUCAAGAGGGGAACAACCCAGACUAACAGCUAAGGUCCCUAAGUUACAUCUAAGUGGAAAACGAUGUGGAGUUACUGUGACAACCAGGAGGUUGGCUUAGAAGCAGCCAUCCUUUAAAGAAAGCGUAACAGCUCACUGGUCUAGUGAUUCUGCGCGGAAAAUAUAACGGGGCUAAGAUGUACACCGAAGCUUUAGAUUCAAUUUUUAAUUGAGUGGUAGGAGAGCGUUCUAUUCAGCGUUGAAGGUAUACCGGUAAGGAGUGCUGGAGCGGAUAGAAGUGAGCAUGCAGGCAUGAGUAGCGAUAAUUAAGGUGAGAAUCCUUAACGCCGAAAACCCAAGGUUUCCUACGCGAUGCUCGUCAUCGUAGGGUUAGUCGGGUCCUAAGUCGAGACUGAAAAGUGUAGACGAUGGCAAAUUGGUUAAUAUUCCAAUACCAACAUAUAAGCGCGAUGUGGGGACGCAUAGAGUUAGUCGAGCUCACUGAUGGAAUAGUGGGUCGAAGGAUGUAGGUUGUUAAGUAGGCAAAUCCGCUUAACGUUAGACCGAGAUCUUACAGGCUCUUGACACUCUUCGGAGGAGAUGGAGAAUCGAUGAUACUGUCGUGCCAAGAAAAGCCACUAAGUUUAUUAUAUGUUGCCCGUACCGUAAACCGACACAGGUGGGUGGGAUGAGUAUUCUAAGGCGCGUGGAAGAACCCUCUUUAAGGAACUCUGCAAAAUAGCACCGUAUCUUCGGUAUAAGGUGUGCCUACUUUGGUAUAUGAACUUGCUUCAAAAAGCUAGAGAGGUUGCAACAAAGAGUCCCUCCCGACUGUUUACCAAAAACACAGCACUUUGCUAACACGUAAGUGGAUGUAUAAGGUGUGACGCCUGCCCGGUGCUCGAAGGUUAAUUGAUGAUGUCAGCGCAAGCGAAGCAUUUGAUCGAAGCCCGAGUAAACGGCGGCCGUAACUAUAACGGUCCUAAGGUAGCGAAAUUCCUUGUCAGUUAAAUACUGACCUGCAUGAAUGGCGUAACGAGAUGGGAGCUGUCUCAAAGAGGAUCCAGUGAAAUUGUAGUGGAGGUGAAAAUUCCUCCUACCCGCGGAAAGACGGAAAGACCCCGUGCACCUUUACUACAGCUUGACACUGUAGCUUGGAUAUUCAUGUGCAGGAUAGGUGGGAGGCUAUGAUGACUAGACGCAAGUAGAGUCGGAGCCAUCCUUGAGAUACCACCCUUGAAUAUUUGAGUUACUAACUGCGAUGAGUUAUCCUCAUUCAGGACAAUGUCUGGUGGGUAGUUUGACUGGGGCGGUCGCCUCCUAAAUAGUAACGGAGGCUUACAAAGGUUAGUUCAAAGCGGAUGGAAAUCGCUUGUUGAGUAUAAUGGCAUAAACUAGCUUGACUGUGAGACCUACAAGUCGAACAGAGACGAAAGUCGGUCAUAGUGAUCCGGUGGUUCUGCGUGGAAGGGCCAUCGCUCAAAGGAUAAAAGGUACGCCGGGGAUAACAGGCUGAUCUCCCCCAAGAGCUCACAUCGACGGGGAGGUUUGGCACCUCGAUGUCGGCUCAUCGCAUCCUGGGGCUGUAGUCGGUCCCAAGGGUAUGGCUGUUCGCCAUUUAAAGCGGUACGCGAGCUGGGGUUCAGAACGUCGUGAGACAGUUCGGUCCCUAUCUUCCGUGGGCGUAGGAAAGUUGAAGAGAUUUGUCCCUAGUACGAGAGGACCGGGAUGAACCAACCACUGGUGUACCAAUUGUUCUGCCAAGAGCAUCGUUGGGUAGCCACGUUGGGAUGUGAUAAGAGCUGAAAGCAUCUAAGCUCGAAGCCAACUCUAAGAUGAACUUUCCCUGAAGUUCCCAGCAAGACUAGCUGGUUGAUAGGCUGGGUGUGUAAUGGGUGUAAGCCCUUUAGCUGACCAGUACUAAUAGAACGUUUGGCUUAUUUUUAACAAUUUUCUUUGGUUUACU
rnacentral:rRNA from 1 species